AACGAACGCUGGCGGCAUGCCUAACACAUGCAAGUCGAACGAGCACUUCGGGACUAGUGGCGCAUGGGUGCGUCACGCGUGGGAACAUGCCCUCAGGUUCGGCAUAACUCCCCGAAUGGGGUGCCAUUACCGGACAAUGUCUACGGACCAAAGAUUUAUCGCCUUUGGUUGGACCAGCGUUGAAUUAGCUAGUUGGUAGGGUAAAAGCUUACCAAGGCGAGGAUUAAUAGCUGGUCUGAGAGGAUGAUCAGCCACACUGGGACGGAGACACGGCCGAGACUCCUACGGGAGGCAGCAGAGGGGGAUAGUGGACAAUGGGCGGAAGCCUGAACCAGCAAGGCCGCGAGAGCGAUGAAAGUCGGAGAGUUGAAAAGCGUAAGUACCUGUGAUGAUAAUGACAGUACCUGGAGAGUAAGCCCCGGCUAACUCCGUG
rnacentral:rRNA from 1 species